GCCCAGAGUUUGAUCCUGGCUCAGAACGAACGCUGGCGGCAGGCUUAACACAUGCAAGUCGAACGAAGCCUUCGGGCUUAGUGGCGGACGGGUGAGUAACGCGUGGGAACGUGCCCUUUGCUACGGAACAGUCCUGGGAAACUGGGUUUAAUACCGUAUACCCUCUGAGGAGGAAAGAUUUAUCGGCAAAGGAUCGGCCCGCGUUGGAUUAGGUAGUUGGUGGGGUAAAGGCCUACCAAGCCGACGAUCCAUAGCUGGUUUGAGAGGAUGAUCAGCCACACUGGGACUGAGACACGGCCCAGACUCCUACGGGAGGCAGCAGUAGGGAAUCUUCCGCAAUGGACGAAAGUCUGACGCAGCAACGCCGCGUGAGUGAUGAAGGUUUUCGGAUCGUAAAACUCUGUUGCCA
rnacentral:rRNA from 1 species